rnacentral:rRNA from 1 species
GGAGGAUCCAAGCGUUAUCCGGAAUCAUUGGGUUUAAAGGGUCCGUAGGCGGCCUUAUAAGUCAGUGGUGAAAUCCCAUCGCUCAACGAUGGAACUGCCAUUGAUACUGUAGGGCUUGAAUUAUUGUGAAGUAACUAGAAUAUGUAGUGUAGCGGUGAAAUGCUUAGAUAUUACAUGGAAUACCAAUUGCGAAGGCAGGUUACUAACAAUAUAUUGACGCUGAUGGACGAAAGCGUGGGGAGCGAAC